rnacentral:sRNA from 2 species
GUUUGCACUUGUCGGGGAAGGGUGAGAACCUUCGAUUAAGGUUCGACUCGAGCGAAAGCGAGAGAACGUUGCCAACGGCAACGGCCCGUAGGGUGAGGAGCGAAG